rnacentral:rRNA from 1 species
AAAAAUUAAAUUUUGAAUAUUAAAGUAGUAAUAGUUAAGUUCUUGAAAUUUAAAAAAUUUGGCGGUAUUUUAGUCUAUUCAGAGGAACCUGUUUAGUAAUCGAUAGUCCACGUUGGACCUUUCUUAAAUUUGUAAAUUAGUUUAUAUAUCGUUGUUUAUAGAAUAUUUUAUAAAAAAAAUAAUUUUCAAGAUUUUCAAUAAAAAUAUAUAUCAGAUCAAGAUGUAGCUUAUAUUUAAGUUUAAAAUGGGUUACAAUUUUUUUAUUAUUGGAUUUAAUUUUGAAAAAAAUUAUUGAAAUUGGAUUUGAUAGUAAAUUUAUAAAGAUAAAUAAUUUGAUUCAAGCUCUAAAAUAUG